UAUAUGUACACAAAUUAAUUAAUUGAGUAUUGAAAAAACCGUACCUUCAGGUUCAAUAAAACUCAAAAAUGUUAGUUGAAAAGAAAACUAUAUUGAAAUGUAAAUCAAGUUGAUGAUGACCGACGUCAGAUCAGGCCCCCCCCCCCCCCCGGUGGCGGUGGAGGCGACUGCGGCGUCCUUGCAGACGUCUGCGGAUAGACGCCAACUCGUUUUACCGUCAUCGCGGAAGUGAUUACGGCCACGGAAGCGACCCCGGACAUCGCCGGGUCGGGCGCGGUAUAUUCAACGAUGAAAGUUUGAGUAAACCACUCGGUCGUUGCCACGACCAGCAGCUCACCGGACGGACACCGGACCGUCAUUAUUCUACCGAUUGGACGACAAGCGAUCGACAGAGUCACUGUCGUCGUCCUCGUUAGUGCCGGUCUCCGGUGCCACCACGUCAUUAAACAGUUUCCGAAUUUCUGUUUUUCCCGUGGCAACAUAUCUCUUACCGUCCACGUCCAAACUACAAAUCGCGUCCUCGGUGUAAAAGCGCCAGACGUUUUGAGGCGAGUCAUACCAUAUUCGGUAAGGUAACUUCCAACCAGCUGGUGGCCGACCGCGUUGUCAAGUCCACUGUCCACGACCGACGUUCCCAGACCAUCGCCGCCGCCGCCGCUAGAAUUCACGUUCUCGAAGGCACGAUGCUGCUGCGCGAUGGUCUCGACUUGGACGAUGUCUCCGCCGUCUCGGUAGCAAUUCUUCGUCCACCAUGACCCGCGAAAAACGGUCCGUUUGUCGAAUGACAGCGUUUCCCAUUUCGAAUAUAAUUGAAUAAGCUGAGUGAAUUUAACACGACAUGUUAGCUGUACGCAACGAAACAAUAGACAGAGCUGUCGACCGUUGUUAUUAUUGAAACUAAGCACAUAACUUGGAAAAAUUAUUGAAAAAUUUGAAAAUUGGAAAAGUCAAAUUAUUGGUCCAGAUCUAGAAUGCUAGUCAUCAAAUAAGUAGGUACUAUGAACGUUGUAUGAUAGUAAUAUUAUUUCAAAGUACUGCAGAGAAAUUUCAUUACUUAAAACUCAAAAGCAAAUCGUAAAAAAAAUAAAUUCCAUUAUGAAAACAAUACCAUUACAAAGUCAUAAACGUUCAAGCAAGAUUCUAUACAUUAUUAACAUAAAUGAGCAUUUAUAAAUAAAAAAUAAGUUAAUGAAAUCUAUUUUACAGCUAUCCAAAAAAUAACUCGAUCAAACGAACUUAAUUUUGUAGCAAGCGAAAGUUAUUUAAUAAAUUCUUCUAAAUCUUUACUUAGUAAAAACGAACAAUUUUUAUGAUGACUCAAUAUUUUAAAAAGCUUAAUACGAAUCUGGAAAUGUCAAAUCAAUGAUCGAGAAUGCAAAUUAUUAAAUACGUAGGAAUGUUAUAUGGAGUCCAAAAUGUUACAAAGAAAUGCUAUAAUUUAGUUUUCAAAAACAAAUCCAAAAAACUUAUUUCUGUCAUAAAAAUAUUUUUAUUCGGGAAUACAUCCAAGUUACAGAUGGUUCAUUGUUAUUUUAAUAACACACUGCCAACGAUUUCGCAAAGCAACUCUAGAAUAACCUACCUGGAGGAAGGAAUAAAGGCUGACAGUGGAGUACAAAAGUUUUUACUCUAAGUUAACAGCUUCGCUUGUUACACUUUGUAUGAAUUAAUCAAAUUGUACUUUGCGAGCUGUUAAGUUAUUGUUUUAAAUCAUCAAUCAAAACAAAUGGACGCCUGUAUAUGCUGGAAGAUUGAAGCUAUUUCUAUUUCAUAAAAUGAUAUUAUAAAAUAUUAUAAUAUGCACAUUGAACAUAAUAUUGUUUUGUUAAAAUAGACAUAACUACUUCAGAUUAAAAAAGUUGUAAAAAAUUGUAUUUCGCCAAUAUAAACUCACGUAAGUCAAUGCCUUACUAGGGUUGAUGAUUUGAUUCGUUAUAUACAAAAUAAAUCUUAUAUUUUUAUUUUA